AGUUGCCAUGGCUGCGGGAGAGGGAGGGAGACAGGAAGGGAUGCACAGGAGCACAGAAGAAAUUUAGGGUGGCAGAAGGACUGUAUAAUGCCACGGCACUCAACGUGUGUCAGAAUCUGGAAAGUCAGAACACACGUUCACUGUGAACUCUAGGUAACACAGGCUAACCACAGCCACUCACCAACUCUGACAGCAAAGCCAUACCAAAGAAAGGCCUCAAGUGAGGAAGCUGUGGACCGCAGGGACCGACACAGCAGCGCUCUCUUCUCUCCCACAGUCCUUCUGUAACUGAAGACUACCCUUUAAAACUAACUGUGAUAAGCUCUAUAGGAACCAUGGUCAGUAAAUGGGGCCGCUGCUCUCUGCCAGGCCGUCACCGACUUUUUACUGAGGUGGUGGUUUUGAAAAGGCUCAAGUCUCCCUCACUACCUACCUCAGGACUAUCUGCAUUUUAACAGGGAACUCUGAAAGGUGAAAAGAGACUUCAGUGGCAAAGGAAUAAAUCCCUAAUGGAAGAGUUUCAGAUAUCGGGAGGGACUACUUUAUGAUUGGGGACACCUCCCUACCUGGAUGCAUCUUCCCCAUCCGCACCAUGCUCAGGCCCUGCCUUCACUGCCCAACUGCGGGACUUUGGGACUUUGGAAAGACAGGUCCGUCCCGCCCCCUCUUACCCCCCAACCCCCCCUAAUUGUGCACCAUUCCUCAGCAACCUGUGUCACAACAAGAAGGAUCUGGGUCACACCUGAAGCAGGCCCUCUGGGGAAAUAGUGCCUUCUUAAAGCCAAUAGCCAGCUCUCCAGCCUCCGCAAGCUCAUUUAUAUGGAGACAGGCUUUAGUUAGGGUCAACCACUUCAGACGUAUUUAUUCUUAUACACAGCAAUAAAGCAAGUAGCAUAUUUUCUUCAACCAGUAA